rnacentral:rRNA from 1 species
CGGGAUGCCUUACACAUGCAAGUCGAACGGCAGCACGGACUUCGGUCUGGUGGCGAGUGGCGAACGGGUGAGUAAUGUAUCGGAACGUGCCCAGUAGCGGGGGAUAACUACGCGAAAGCGUAGCUAAUACCGCAUACGCCCUACGGGGGAAAGCAGGGGAUCGCAAGACCUUGCACUAUUGGAGCGGCCGAUAUCGGAUUAGCUAGUUGGUGGGGUAACGGCUCACCAAGGCGACGAUCCGUAGCUGGUUUGAGAGGACGACCAGCCACACUGGGACUGAGACACGGCCCAGACUCCUACGGGAGGCAGCAGUGGGGAAUUUUGGACAAUGGGGGAAACCCUGAUCCAGCCAUCCCGCGUGUGCGAUGAAGGCCUUCGGGUUGUAAAGCACUUUUGGCAGGAAAGAAACGUCGCGGGUUAAUACCUCGCGGAACUGACGGUACCUGCAGAAUAAGCACCGGCUAACUACGUGCCAGCAGCCCGCGGUAAUACGUAGGGUGCAAGCGUUAAUCGGAAUUACUGGGCGUAAAGCGUGCGCAGGCGGUUCGGAAAGAAAGAUGUGAAAUCCCAGAGCUUAACUUUGGAACUGCAUUUUUAACUACCGGCCUAGAGUGUGUCAGAAGGAGGUGGAAUUCNCGUGUACAAUGAAAUGCGUANAUAUGCGGAGGAACACCGAUGGNGAAGCAGCCUCUGGGAUAACACUUACCUUAUCCCGAAAGCGUGGGGAGCAAACAGGAUUANAUCCCUUGUANUCCNCNCCUUAACNAUNUCAANUANUNUUGGGGCCUUUNGGCCUUUGN